GUCAGGGAGUGCUUGUAUCGUGGUGUAGGGGUUGUCGUGUGGUGCAGGAGGUAGGAACUGGCUUAAAGGGUGGUGUGUUGUCUGUGAACAGGGCCACUAUGGAGGCAAUUUUUUCCCAGAAUGGUACUAUGAGUGGGCAUUCCCACCAUAUGUGGAGGAAGGAUCCCACCCCUCCCCCGCACCUCCAGCAGAGGCCAUCCG